rnacentral:misc_RNA from 1 species
AAGAUGAUGAAUUCAGUGACCUGGUAUGCUCCUUUGCUUUUUUAGCUUACAUUUGAUGGGUUCUACUUGAUUUCUGGAACGUCUACGGCCUAUGUAUACAAUUAGUCAUUAAAUAUCCUUCAAGAAAUUAUUAUCUAAAUAUUCUUUAAAUAUUCCUCUGGAUAUAUAAAAUGACUGAUUUAAGUCAUCCUUCUGUCAAAAAGUUUGUGGUCUGAGGAUUUUGCCUAAGUGGUAGGUCUCACAGCCCUAACAUUUUCUCUGGAAAAGGUUGGGUCGUUUUUGAAACCUUUUAUCAUAUUUUUUAACUACUUCUGUAUUCAAUUUGUUGGUUCCAUGGUUGAUAAAUCCAGGGCUUUAAUCAGCACCAAACAAUUCAG